rnacentral:lncRNA from 12 species
CUUUUGCCUGGACCCUGGCAGCAGCCUCCUGGCUGGUCUCCCUGCCUCCAGCCUCUCCCAGCCAUCCCCCCACACACACACACUGUUGCGGAUCUAAUCACACAACUUCCUGUUGUGUAACUGUCCCUUUGCAGUCAUCCGAGCCCCGAGACUGGCACACGGGCCUCCCCGAUAAGCUAAGGACUCAGUUAAGAUCUGCAACCACCACGUUAUUACCGGCCCUUCCUGACCUCUUGAGUCUUACCCUUGCCAUCUCCCUCUCCAGGUAACAGAGCUCCCCCCAGAGCACCUUCAAAGCCUUGGCCUCUGCAGCGCCUGUCGUGCGGAGCACCCUUUCCCAUCUUCAGAUCGAGGUUUCAGAACAUUUCAUCACCUUGAUGAAAUCCUUGAUGACCAACUUGUCACGGAAUAAACAGCCUCCUUCGUAUGAUGGCACAGGACCUGCCUCCACUAGGGAUCUUCCACAGAUCCUUGAUGACCAACCAUAUUUGGAAGCCUCCUAAGAACCCCCCUCCCAUCCCAGGGAGGACCACCCUGCUCCCGGGGGUCAGCAAACACCACCACGCCGCCCCGCCUGCGGGCCCUCACACCCCGGCAAGCCCUGGCCAGGCCGCGUGGAUCCUGCGGCAGCCGACGGCGCCCCUCCCUGUGUCCUGUCCCCAACCCACCAAGCCUGGGCUGCAGGAGGCAGAAGGAGAUCAAAUCAUAGCUCCUCCAGCUCAUUAGCGCUGCCUU